rnacentral:rRNA from 2 species
GCCGACCUUGAAAUACCACCCUUUAAUGUUUGAUGUUCUAACGUGGACCCGUGAUCCGGGUUGCGGACAGUGUCUGGUGGGUAGUUUGACUGGGGCGGUCUCCUCCUAAAGAGUAACGGAGGAGCACGAAGGUUGGCUAAUCCUGGUCGGACAUCAGGAGGUUAGUGCAAUGGCAUAAGCCAGCUUGACUGCGAGCGUGACGGCGCGAGCAGGUGCGAAAGCAGGUCAUAGUGAUCCGGUGGUUCUGAAUGGAAGGGCCAUCGCUCAACGGAUAAAAGGUACUCCGGGGAUAACAGGCUGAUACCGCCCAAGAGUUCAUAUCGACGGCGGUGUUUGGCACCUCGAUGUCGGCUCAUCACAUCCUGGGGCUGAAGUAGGUCCCAAGGGUAUGGCUGUUCGCCAUUUAAAGUGGUACGCGAGCUGGGUUUAGAACGUCGUGAGACAGUUCGGUCCCUAUCUGCCGUGGGCGCUGGAGAACUGAGGGGGGCUGCUCCUAGUACGAGAGGACCGGAGUGGACGCAUCACUGGUGUUCGGGUUGUCAUGCCAAUGGCACUGCCCGGUAGCUAAAUGCGGAAGAGAUAAGUGCUGAAAGCAUCUAAGCACGAAACUUGCCCCGAGAUGAGUUCUCCCUGAGACUUAAAGUCUCCUGAAGGAACGUUGAAGACGACGACGUUGAUAGGCCGGGUGUGUAAGCGCAGCGAUGCGUUGAGCUAACCGGUACUAAUGAACCGUGAGGCUUAACCUUACAAC